GCAUCGAUGAAGAACGAGCA
rnacentral:rRNA from 1 species